UUCCGUACUCGGUUGGACGAU
rnacentral:piRNA from 1 species